UACGGAGGGGACUAGCGUUGUUCGGAAUUACUGGGCGUAAAGCGCACGUAGGCGGAUUUGUAAGUCAGGGGUGAAAUCCCGGGGCUCAACCUCGGAACUGCCUUUGAUACUGCAAAUCUCGAGUCCGGAAGAGGUGAGUGGAAUUCCUGGUGUAGCGGUGAAAUGCGCAGAUAUCAGGAGGAACACCAAUGGCGAAGGCAGCUCGCUGGAACGGUACUGACGCUGAGGCGCGAAAGCGUGGGGAGCGAACAGG
rnacentral:rRNA from 1 species